GAACAAUAGCUUAAGGUCGGAUGAUCUAUUGCUUUUACUGUUUUCUUUCCUCUCCAGCGGGCUCCACCACCAGGGAUCCAGGGGCCUUAGGGACUCGGGCGCCCGGGGUCCGCGCACCCCGCUCAGACACUUGGGGACGCACGGCGUCCCGCGGGUGGGGUGGCCCGGGCGCGGUUCCGGCCACAGGGGUCAGCCGGGUGGGACGCUCUCGCGCGAUCCCGGGGGUCAGGGCGGGGCCGGCGCUGUCCCGCGCUUCCUGCCACCCCGGGCCACCCCUCCGCGCCUCUCCGCUCCGGGCCAUGGCGGCCGUGGCUUGGGGACGGUGCCUCCCUCGGGUGUGGCUUCUCAGGAGGACCGGGCCUGGCUGCGGCCGCCACUACCGCGCCGCGCUCUGCGCCGAGCUGAAGCACCCCCUGGCCAUCGAGGAGGUCGCCUCCCGCCCCGUCCGGCCUCACGAGGUCAGAGUGGACGUCCAUUUCUGUGGAGUUAAUUUUGCUGAUAUUUUGGUCUGCCGUGGUCAGUAUCAGGAAAAGCCUCAACUUCCCUUCACACCUGGAAUGGAGUUUUCGGGGACAGUAUUGGAGACAGGCACAGAUGUCAGCACAGUGAAAGAGGGAGAUCGAGUUAUUGGCGUGAGUCGCUUUAAUGGUAUGGCUGAAGAAUGCAUCAUUGAUCACAAGACACUGUGGCAGAUUCCAGAAGGGGUCCCCCUCCGAGAAGCUGCUACCUUGCCUGUAUCUUAUGUCACUGCUAUUUUGGCCUUGGAGCAUCGGGCCUGUACUCGGCCUGGAGAAACUGUUUUAGUGACAGCAGCAGCUGGAGCCACAGGCCUUGCAGUGAUAGAUGUGGCAACAAACGUUCUUCAGGCUAAGGUAAUAGCUGCAGCCGGAAGUGACGAGAAGUGCAGGCUGGCGAUGCGGAAGGGUGCACAGUCCAUCGUGAACUAUAGUCAGGGCAGCCUGAAGGAGGCAGUGAGGAAGCUGGUGGGCAGUGAUGGGGUGAACGUGGUCAUCGACGCUGUGGGAGGAGAUGUCUUCCUGGAGGCUCUCCGCAGCCUGGCCUGGGAGGGCAGGAUUGUGGUGGUGGGUUUUGCUGGAGGAACCAUUGCUUCUGUGCCGGCCAACCUUCUGCUCCUGAAGAAUGUCUCUGCUAUGGGGCUGUACUGGGGCCGAUACAAAGAGCAGAACUUUCCCGUCUUCUCCAGAAUCCUGUCCUCUGCUCUUCAGUACUGCCAGCAAGGGCGCAUCCAGCCACACAUCGGAGCGGUUUUUAAGCUGGAGGAGUCAAGAGGGUAGCAUUCGGUGGUAAAAAGAGAACCUGACUGGCCACGGGAAAACUGGUCGGAUUCCGUUUCCACCUGUGCCUUCAGUUACUCCUUCGUGGAAGUCUCCUCUGCCCUCCGACCAUCAGUCUCCACGCCUCUGCAGCAGGUUAUGUACUUCAGGGGCGGCAGUGUGCGGGGGUGGGCAGGUGACCCGAGCUGCCUGGCCUCUGGGACCCCAUCUCUGCUGGGGUCUGAGUAGCUGCACAUUUUUACCUUUUUGUUCAUCUGUUUCUUGUGUUAAAAGGUUCUGUGGCUUAAAAGACUUGCAAACCACCAGUUUCCAGAAUUGCUGAGUCCCCUUCCGUCUUGUGACUUUUAUCAUGUGCCUGUGAACCGAGGUUGGCUUUACCUAAAGCUCAUGUAUACCUGUCGAUAGAUGAGGACGGUUAGGACAGGUCAAUGAUGCCUUCCUUCAUGUGAUACAGCGCAAAUCCAUGGGCAAGCUUUUGCCUUGGGAUUUGUCACAUUCUGCCUGGCACCAGAGGGAGCAGCAUGUCUAGUAGAAUGAACACAGGAUUCUGAAUCUAAGAUGUGGGUUCACAUCCUGGUCUCACCACUUCGGAGGUGGUUACUUAAGGUCUGUGAGCCUCCAUUUUCUCAUAUUACAAUGUCUACCUCACAACGUUGUCGUGGGCAACACAUGCAGCAAUUGGGCAAAUUAUCCGGUGCGUGGUGAGCUAUUAGCAAAUGCUCGUUACUUUUACUUCUUUCUUUCCUCCUUUCCCAAGGUAGCAUAAGUUUUUUGAAAGCGGGUACCAUGUCUGAUGCACCUUUGUACCUCCCACAAUUCCUAUCACAAUGAGUAGUAAAUACGCCAUACAUGGAAUUGA